AUUUGCUUUAUCUGUAUUGCUUCAUUUCAUCUUUAUAGUGUCUUGUGAGAUGGGUGUGUUUAUUCCCAUUUUACAGAGAAUAUCCAUUUAUAUAAUGUCAUGAACGUAUAUCCGAUGACAUCAUUUGCCUGCAAACGUACCCAGUGAGUGGCAGAGUCAUCCUGAAGCCUGCUUUCCGGGCCCUGCCUAUAUUCUGGAAAGCUUCACAUGUGAGAUAAAUGCACUCAAAGAUUCCUCACAAGUAGCUCUUUGGAGCUUCGGAUGUGAAAUGGAUCAUUCCUCAAUCUGUAAUAGACCCUUCUGUGAAGCUCUUCAAUCAAACCAGAGAAUUCAAGAUUUUGGAUUUGAUGACCAGUGUCCUUUGAGUGGAAAUCACUAUGUUAACUCGGACCUGGAAGACAGUGAAUUUAGAAUGCCUUGUUGA
rnacentral:lncRNA from 1 species